GUGUUCCUACGGGAGGCAGCAGUGGGGAAUAUUGCACAAUGGGGGAAACCCUGAUGCAGCGACGCCGCGUGAGUGAAGAAGUAUUUCGGUAUGUAAAGCUCUAUCAGCAGGGAAGAAAACGGACGGUACCUGACUAAGAAGCCCCGGCUAACUACGUGCCAGCAGCCGCGGUAAUACGUAGGGGGCGAGCGUUAUCCAGAUUUACUGGGUGUAAAGGGAGCGUAGACGGCUGGGCAAGCCUGAUGUGAAAGGCGGGGGCGCAACCCUCGGACUGCAUUGGGAACUGUCCGGCUGGAGCGCCGGAG
rnacentral:rRNA from 1 species